rnacentral:rRNA from 1 species
AGGACGAACGCUGGCGGCGUGCUUAACACAUGCAAGUGGAGCGACGAACCAGGGCUUGCCCUGGGGCAGAGCCGCGAACGGGUGAGUAACACGUGGGUUACCUGCCUCGAUGACCGGGACAACCCGAGGAAACCCGGGCUAAUACCGGAUGUGCCCGCAAGGGGAAAGGAAGCUUCGGCCUCCGCAUCGAGAUGGGCCCGCGGCCCAUUAGCUUGUUGGUGAGGUAACGGCUCACCAAGGCUCCGAUGGGUAGCUGGUCUGAGAGGACGAUCAGCCACACUGGGACUGAGACACUGCCCAGACUCCUACGGGAGGCUGCAGUCGAGAAUCUUCGGCAAUGGGCGCAAGCCUGACCGAGCGACGCCGCGUGGAGGACGAAGGCCUUCGGGUUGUAAACUCCUGUCGAGGGGAAGAAGGGGUAAACCUUGACUGAUCCCUGGAGGAAGCGACGGGCUAAGUUCGUGCCAGCAGCCGC